AACGAACGCUGGCGGCAUGCCUAACACAUGCAAGUCGAACGAGACCUUCGGGUCUAGUGGCGCACGGGUGCGUAACGCGUGGUAACCUGCCCUUAGGUUAGGAAUCACUCCCCGAAAGGGGUGCUAAUACCGGAUAAUCUCUUCGGAUCAAAGAUUUAUCGCCUUUGGAUGGGCCCGCGUUGGAUUAGCUAGUUGGUAGGGUAAAAGCCUACCAAGGCGACGAUCCAUAGCUGGUCUGAGAGGAUGAUCAGCCACACUGGGACUGAGACACGGCCCAGACUCCUACGGGAGGCAGCAGUGUAGAAUACUGGACAAUGAGCGAAGGCCUGAUCAAGCAAUGUCGCGUGUGCGGGGAAUGCCUUUGUGUAGUAAAGCUCUUUUACCCGAGAUGAUAAUGACGGUACCGGGAAAAGAAGCACCGGCUAACUCCGUG
rnacentral:rRNA from 1 species